AUGACUGUUCGGCUCAAUGUCAAGAAGAAGAAAAGAGUUUCCUGCCUUUUCUGGAGCAGAACUGCGUUCUGGACUCAGGAAGACUGGCUCCACAGUCCAAGUUUUAGAUGCUUCCUACCUUCAAACAUCUUCGGACUUCCAAGUUCUUCAGCUUUGGGACUCAUACUGGCUUCCUUGCUCCUCAGCUUGCAGAUGGCCUACUGUGGGACCUCACAUUGUGAUCGUGUGUAUCUCAUCUUCCAUACCCAGAGAGAUGCAACAAAGACCAUGAACCUUGGUUAGUUUCCUGAUUCUACUGCUUACUCUAUAACCUUAUUAAUCAUGUCAACACUUUAUUGAACUCUGUACUAAGCACUUUACAAACAUGAUCUUUAUUUCUUCAUGCAACCCCAUGAGGGAGAUAGUAUUUUCUUCUUGAUAGACUAGGACUUGGAAAUUUUUAGAGAAGUUAAUUGCCUUUUCUAAGACCAAACACCUAGUAAAUUCUGCUGUAAAGACUUGAGCCCUGGUCUGUCCCACUAGGAGGUGCACUUAACCAUAAUGCUCUUUUUAAUUUGAGCAGAAAUUUUACUUCUAGGAGCCUCUCCAAGCUUUAGUUUCCUCCCAAGCAAUCUGUGAUGGUUUGACUUUUUCAGCCAUGACUCUGCCCUCUUGGUAUGCCUUCCUAUAUCUCAGAGACUGGAAAGCCUAAAACUGCAUCCCACAAAUGCUCUUCUAUCACUUAGAGAUUCUCCCAUAUAUCUAGAAGGCCAAAAUGAAGCAGAGGCCAUCCUUGCCAUUUGGGUUGCUUUUCUGCUAGCAAAUCAGGUUGUGGGAAGUGAGGUUUGGAGAAGUAGAUUUUCAGUGUUCAUUCUCCAGGUACUUGGGUUGCAACAGGAAACAUGGAUGAACUCAGUUGCUGCUCUUCCUAUCCCAUUAGCCAAUCACCUGCUUUGUGAAUGUAGAGAGCAAGAAGAGAAGGCAACUUUCUGCCUAACUUCCUGCUCCUUGUAUUGUGCCACGGUGAAGGGUUCUUGAACCCAGAAGUUCCAGAGGCUGCCUUGACAAUAGUCACUUCCUUGAUGUCAGUUCUGAAUUAUUUGGGGAGUUAUCAUUGAUGACUGAGCCUAGAACCCAUUCCUCUAGCCCUUCCAAACAUCUCAC
rnacentral:lncRNA from 1 species